GUCGUGCUCUGCCUGGCUACUACGCCAUGCUGCGUCACGUCUAUGGCAGCAGGAGCGUGUAGUGUGGGUGCCCCACAACCCUCUCUCCUCAGUUCCUCGUCAAUACAGCCGCCGCGCCGCCGCGCCACCUCCCUUCUCCGGUCCUCCCUUCCCCCUCCCCCUGCAGCAGCUCUGCCGCCUCUUUCGAUGAGAUCCACCGUCUCCCGAGGUCCUUAUCCACCCCAGCUCGCGAGGAAGCCACGAAAGGAGGAGCUCAACCGGGCAUCGCCGGCCGGAGAAGGAGGAGAGGCGCGGAUGCCAGGCAGGGAGGCAGAUCGGCUCGCCUCCGCGGCAGCCAGGGAGGCGGAUCGGCUCGCCUCCGCGGCGUCUUGUGCGCCGCCGCCGCCUCUACAUCCACCUUUCUCCGCAUAGCAGCAUGUGUGCGGAAGCGGGGACAUGCGACCGCGAGCAGAUGGCGUCGGCGGCAACGGCAACACGCAUGGUGUGCAAAGUCCGAUAAGAUGGGCGUGGCCUCCCCGCAUGCGUUUCAGGAUGGCGUGCUCGACGGCUCGGAACGCGCCCGCACGGGCACAAGAGGUAUGCAUAGGAGCACGCCGACGGCAACGUGCACCGCGAGGUCGGCCAGAGCCCCUCCGUACUGGAGGAAACCUGCGACUCACCUCCACGCACAGGUCUAUGCCGAUUUCCACAAUAACACUGCCUCCAACUUUCUCAUUUCCCUAGCUCUGCAUACAAGGUCCAAGCUAGGUAUGCCAAUCUUGUUAUAGCUUGUUUAGUCGCUUUCUGGUUUGUGCCUUUUCACCUGCAUAUAGUGAGGCAGUGUGUGGAAUUUAGGUGCUGGUUUGAACAAAUUACAAUGAUGUAGUGGUGCGGAUCAGUACAAUUACCGGCUUUAUAUUGUGGUCAGUGUGUUGUAAGUAGUUUGGGAAACAAGUUCUUGAGUAGGUUUAUCUGCUUGCUCAUGCAUUUUAAUACUUGAUGUUCUGAUGAUUUGUGAAGUUCUGUGUAUCAUGUGAUAAGCUGCACAUCAGGUAGCAUGGCAUCUUGUUUGUUUCUUUUAGGAUGUACAUGUACCCAGGUGGAUCAAAUACAGAUACCAAUCAUAUAUUAUUUUUUACUCAUGUGUUUUUCAUGUGCCUUCCAAGCAUUUUAACAAAUUGAUUAUAUGAUUCAGAUGUAUUCAGGCCGGGUUUCUGUGAUCCAAAAAAAAUCAUGUGGCACUAGCUUUUGUAUUACAUACAAAACUAAAUGUGGAGAAGUAUAUAUGUUCAUUAUUUGGUAAGUGAACUGAAUCACCUUGGUAUAAAAAUCCCAUUCGCUUUGGUCGGAGGCGCUGUAAUGAUUUGUAGGAAAGGAUUUUAUAUUUCCUAAAGCCUUUCUUUAAAAGAGACUGGUCGAUACAGCUCCACGUUGUGCUAUCUUGCUAUUGGGCUCUUUUUUCUUUUCUUAAAAUGGUUGGAUUUCUCUCAUGUUUAAUUCAUGGUUGAUUGCUUAUUUCCAAAAUAAUUAUGUUAGUACACUGAAGUUAAUUUCUACAUUGUUAGUGAAGUUGAAUUAUUUCCCUCGAUUUGUUCCUCAAAUGUUCUGAGAGAUGUUGCGUAUUAGGAAACCCCUUGGAUAGUCAAGGUGUUGUUUCAGCUGACUAAUAUAAAGUUAUAUUUCCAGCAGAAGAUCUUUGGAAUUGAGUUUUUGAUGAAAAAGUAGCAUACGGAUGGAUGGACAUGAGCUAUCCAUUGGUCGAACUGGGCUAUAUUUCUUUCAUUGAGUCAUGCAAAAAAAAAUCUUUCAUUGAGGCGAGGGUGAUUCUAGUGGGUGAGGUGAAUUUUAGACAUCCGGAUGUCUUGCUAUGUUCAGGUGCUACCAUGCCUGAAUUAAGAUUUCCCUUGUAGAUUUUGCAAGGCGUACUCGCCGUUUUUCUUGAAGUUGGGCAUUCGUCUUCUCUGCGGCAAGGUGAUCUUAUCCCAUUUACUUUGUUCAGUCCAGAGUCAAGAUUCAUAUCCCCUUCACUGUCAUUUCAUUUGCGAGCACUUAUUCAAUUGAUCUAUGUCAUCGGCAUCAUGACAAUUUAGCUUUUUCUGCUGAUCACAAUUGCUUGCAUCUGAACACACUGGCCCAUCUCAUUGAGGAAAUCCCCCUGCUCCACUUACUUAAAAUUAAUGUGAACUAUGUUUCUACCAAAACUAAUUAAAAUUUAUUCUUUUUAGUUUCUACUGAUUUUUGGUAUGAAAUACUGGGGGCCGAGUAGUUCAGUUCAUUUCCCAGUGGAUAUGGCACACACAUGUAUUAUCGCUGUUAUUGAAAUUGAUACCAACACCUUGACUGAAUCGCAUAGAAUAGACUGCCCUAAUAAUUCUUGCACAGUUAAGCUAUCGGUAGAUCAUAGAAUAGACUGUGAGCAUGCCCUGGGGGACCUGUCUAAAUAAUUCCUGUGCACAUGGACGCUGGGUAUGUUAGUAAUCGCCAAAAGAAAUUAGCGGCGGGAGAUUAUUUUCUAAAAAAAUCUAAUGGUGUUUCCUUACCAUCAACUGCUAUUUCAGUAGUUCUAAAAUGUUCUACGAGAUAAUGUAUAAUGAAUACAUAGCUAGGUUCAUAUAAGUAUAGAUUUGCAUAAUAAUCUUUUGUAUGGCAAAGGUUCAUAUGGUUGGAAGGGAAAUUAGUAGCUGCACCUUGGUAUGUGCAAAUGAUUUUUUUACAGUGUCCCUUGAUGGUUCUCCACUUCAGACACUAAAGAUACCACUGGUACUUUGUUUAGGAUCUGGGGAGUCGGAUUGUGGAUUACAUGUAGUGAGGAAGAAGAGAGGGGGAAGAGGAAGAGGACACCCUCAGUGGCGUGCUAUAUCUAACUAGGCGACAAUGUUGAGAGGGUGCCUGGCAUCAUGAACCCAACAUGCUUUUCCGGGAGUUUGUUGAGGUGAGCCACCUGGGCAGGUCUAUGCGUUGAGGUGGUUUGAUAAUUUGUUGUUCCUCUUUUUCCUGCAUCUUUUUAGGAAAUGAAUUUAUUAGUUGGAAAAUGGCAAUAUCGUUUACAAUACAUGAAACAAACUAUUUUUCCUACACCUCUUUGUUCUGUGUAAUGGUGCUCUUGGUUGAGUGUGCCGACGAAAGAGAUUCCAUGGUACAGGCUAGGUAGCUUCUCAGUAACUCUUCGUGAUUUACUUGCAAUGUUGUUCUUUGCAAAAUUGUUCCUUGCAAUCCUAAAAUGAUUUCACAAAACAUGUAAGAAGGAAGGUGUGACACCAAGUUAUAUAUAU